rnacentral:rRNA from 1 species
CCUACGGGUGGCAGCAGUGAGGAAUAUUGGUCAAUGGCCGCAAGCCUGAACCAGCCAAGUAGCGUGAAGGAAGACUGCCCUAUGGGUUGUAAACUUCUUUUAUGCGGGGAUAAAGUUUGCCACGUGUGCCUUUUUGCAUGUACCUUAUGAAUAAGGACCGGCUAACUCCGUGCCAGCAGCCGCGGUAAUACGGAAGGUCCGGGCGUUAUCCGGAUUUAUUGGGUUUAAAGGGAGCGUAGACGGGUUGUUAAGUCUGCUGUGAAAUUUUGUGGCUCAACCGUGAAAUUGCGCCGGAUACUGGAAGCCUUGAGUGCAGGGGAGGCAGGCAGAAUUCGUGGUGUAGCGGUGAAAUGCUUAGAUAUCACGAAGAACCCCGAUUGCGAAGGCAGCCUGCCGAAGCGUGACUGACGCUGAAGCUCGAAAGCGCGGGGAUCAAACAGGAUUAGAUACCCUGGUAGUC